rnacentral:rRNA from 1 species
CCUACGGGAGGCAGCAGUGGGGGAUAUUGCACAAUGGGGGAAACCCUGAUGCAGCGACGCCGCGUGGGCGAAGAAGUAUUUCGGUAUGUAAAGCCCUAUCAGCAGGGAAGAAGAAAUGACGGUACCUGAGUAAGAAGCACCGGCUAAAUACGUGCCAGCAGCCGCGGUAAUACGUAUGGUGCAAGCGUUAUCCGGAUUUACUGGGUGGAAAGGGAGCGCAGGCGGCACGGCAAGCCUGAUGUGAAAGCCCGCGGCCCAACCGCGGGACUGCAUUGGGAACUACCGGUCUGGAGUGCCGGAGAGGUAAGCGGAAUUCCUAGUGUAGCGGUGAAAUGCGUAGAUAUUAGGAGGAACACCAGUGGCGAAGGCGGCUUACUGGACUGUAACUGACGUUGAGGCUCGAAAGCGUGGGGAGCAAACAGGAUUAGAUACCCCGGUAGUC